rnacentral:rRNA from 1 species
GACGAACGCUGGCGGCGUGCUUAACACAUGCAAGUCGAACGAUGAAGCUAGAGCUUGCUCUGGUGAAUUAGUGGCGAACGGGAGAGUAACACGUGAGUAACCUGCCCCGAACUCUGGGAUAACUGCUGGAAACGGUAGCUAAUACUGGAUACGACCUACGAAGGCAUCUUCUGUAGGUGGAAAGAACUUCGGUUCGGGAUGGACUCGCGGCCUAGCAGCUUGUUGGUGAGGUAAUGGCUCACCAAGGCGACGACGGGUAGCCGGCCUGAGAGGGUCACCGGCCACACUGGGACUGAGACACGGCCCAGACUCCUACGGGAGGCAGCAGUGUGGAAUAUUGCACAAUGGGCGCAAGCCUGAUGCAGCAACGCCGCGUGAGGGAUGACGGCCUUCGGGUUGUAAACCGCUUUUAGUAGGGAAGAAGCGAAAGUGACGGUACCUGCAGAAAAAGCACCGGCUAACUACGUGCCAGCCGCCGUAAUAC